CCUACGGGUGGCAGCAGUGGGGAAUAUUGGACAAUGGGGGGAACCCUGAUCCAGCCAUGCCGCGUGUGUGAAGAAGGCCCUCGGGUUGUAAAGCACUUUCAGUGAGGAAGAACGCCUGGUGGUUAAUACCCAUCAGGAAAGACAUCACUCACAGAAGAAGCACCGGCUAACUCCGUGCCAGCAGCCGCGGUAAUACGGAGGGUGCGAGCGUUAAUCGGAAUUACUGGGCGUAAAGCGCGCGUAGGUGGCUUGAUAAGCCGGUUGUGAAAGUCCCGGGCUCAACCUGGGAACGGCAUCCGGAACUGUCAAGCUAGAGUGCAGGAGAGGAAGGUAGAAUUCCCGGUGUAGCGGUGAAAUGCGUAGAGAUCGGGAGGAAUACCAGUGGCGAAGGCGGCCUUCUGGACUGACACUGACACUGAGGUGCGAAAGCGUGGGUAGCAAACAGGAUUAGAUACCCCAGUAGUC
rnacentral:rRNA from 1 species